AUGAACGCUGGCGGCGUGCCUAACACAUGCAAGUCGAGCGAGAUUAAUGUGAGUGGAGACUUCGGUCAAAGCAAUCAUUAUGAAAGCGGCGGACGGGUGAGUAACGCGUGAGCAAUCUGCCCCAUACAAAGGGAUACCCACUGGAAACGGUGAUUAAUACCUUAUGAGACCACAAUGCCGCAUGGCAUAGGGGUCAAAGAUUUAUCGGUAUGGGAUGAGCUCGCGUCUGAUUAGCUAGUUGGUGAGGUAAUGGCUCACCAAGGCGACGAUCAGUAGCCGACCUGAGAGGGUGAACGGCCACACUGGAACUGAGACACGGUCCAGACUCCUACGGGAGGCAGCAGUGGGGAAUAUUGCACAAUGGGCGCAAGCCUGAUGCAGCAACGCCGCGUGAAUGAUGAAGGCCUUCGGGUCGUAAAGUUCUGUCCAAAGGGAAGAAUACAGUGACGGUACCUUUGGAGGAAGCCCCGGCUAACUACGU
rnacentral:rRNA from 1 species